UACGUAGGGUCCGAGCGUUGUCCGGAGUUACUGGGCGUAAAGCGCGCGCAGGCGGCGGUGUUGGCCCGGCGUGAAAGCCCCCCGGCUCAACCGGGGAGAGUCGUCGGGGACCGCACCGCUUGAGGGCGGUAGGGGCUGGUGGAAUGCCUGGUGUAGUGGUGAAAUGCGUAGAGAUCAGGCAGAACACCUGGGGGCGAAGGCGGCCAGCUGGGCCGUCCCUGACGCUGAGGAGCGAAAGCGUGGGGAGCGAACAGG
rnacentral:rRNA from 1 species